rnacentral:lncRNA from 15 species
GAGCAGGAGGUGCAGCAGGGCUUGGUGCUAGACGCUGUGGGAGCAGCACUGAGAGGUGGCAGGUUGGUGACGGUGUUACAUGAGGAAGUGUCUGAAAACAUCAGCAGUCGGACGAAUAACAACACUAUGAACAUUAAGAGCAAGAAGUGGGCCAAGGCCACAUGGCACGUUGAUCAAAGAGGCUGGGGGAAGGCAUACGUCGAGUCUUUUCACUUAUACCCGCUGGUACAAGGUGUGUGUGAGCGGCUGGGAGGCAGGAAGAGACGAGCUUAUACUCUCAGACAACAUGACCACAGGUCAUCUCUUGUCCUUGCCCCAGCACAGUACAGCUCACUGAAGAGGCUUUUUGGUGAACUAAACCUUUUUGAUACAGAUGGGGCAACAACAUCUUUUCCACAGCCAUAUUCCCACAGUGUCAUAGAGAAUGACUGGUUUUUGAAAAAAUUAUUCAGACAAUAAAUCUUUGAGAAUUUCACUGUUUUGGCUCACUCACCACUCUCAAAACAUAAUUUUCGGACAAAGCAUGCAGCUGUUUUUGGCAGAAAAGCUCUGAAAACCCACUGUACACAACCUGCUCAGCACCAAACAGCAGACAGACACAGUUAGCAACUAGCUGGCAAACAUAGUGGAGCAGCUAAAGAGCCAUAUACUGUAUUUCCCUCCAGAGUUGGUGGAGACCAAAAACAGAGGGACUAAUGGACUAUGUAUAUGUUAGCUAUAUCAACUUAGAAGGUGAUGAUACAUCAGUGUUGUGCUCACAACUUGUUUCCGCUGCCCCAGAGGCAAAUUUUUAUUCAUUUAUUUAUCUUUGAAAUUAAACAGUCAUAAGUAAAUAACUGUCAGAGUUAAAGUGGAAAAAAACAUCCUUAGCUGUUAUUUAUUAAGAUUUUAACUAAUAUGCUUUAUCAGGACUGUGUGGUUGUGGUUUGGCAAUGGC